AAUAAGAUACCCAAAGCACUUGUGAAUUUAAGUUUGAACAGGCUUGUGAUAUGAUGACUCCCUAAAGUCUUCAUUUAGGUGAGCAGGAGCUGAACAGAUAACAGGUCGAGCAGGAUGUGAUGGGUUAAGCUGCCUUUUAACUCAAAGAUAUUCAGCAAGGAAGAGCAGGGGAAGCAAUGAUGAAGGAAGCAGACAGAGGGGAAUAAAGUGCACUGGAAAUUUAACGCUUCCGUUGAUAGAACACUGCUCUCUUAUUGAUCACAAAGUUACAGAUUUAUUGGAGACACUCGGAUGGAAUUUUGAUGUACAUUGUGGCAAGAAGGCACACAAAAUUUUUCCUUUUUAGACCACGUGUUUUCUGUCUUUGAUCUUAGAUCUCGUACUCUAUCAAAGUAUUACUGAACUCAAGAUCUUUCAGAGUAAUUUGAAAAGAUCUUCAUUCAAACAGAAAACAUUCUAUCUAAGUGCAUUCCAAAGACAGAGUGCGGAGCCUUACUGAGAGCCAGAUUGAGAGAAAUACAAAAGCUAAAAACUACCUUUGUGGAAUCAAAAAGGGUAUUUGAGGACCUUCAACAUAAUGCACUGGAACAUAAAAUUCUUCACCCAAUGGGAAGUGAGUGCUGCAUGUCUUCUGUGAAGUUGAAUAAACUUCUGCUCGUUUCAAUUAUGUUGCUGAAUCAAAAGACCAACUCCUAGGAACUGCUCACCAUCAGUUUAGCGCAGUGUUAUUGUUGUCAUUUAAUCUCACAGACCUGAAGAAGGAUUCAUAGGAUGAAGACGGGGCUUCUCGAUGGUUGCUUUCACACCAGCUGACCACCUGCCUCCUUAAAUCUGGAAUUAAUGCAUGCACAGCAAGCAUAAGAAUAAACAAUGAAAGAUUUUACAUAAUUUCAUGCUUUCUAUGAAUUGUUUGAUGAUUUCAAAAUGACUGUUGUUGCAAGUAAGUUAUGGCUUGUGCUAUUCAAUUUAUAAAUGAUCUAAAAUAAAUUUCAUACAGUGACAGUUUUCUGAUGAUAUUAUUUACUUUAAAGAAAUCAAAAGUCAGCUAUAAAGAGAUGCAGAAGUAUCUCAUAGUACUGAAAUACUAUACAAAUUAAUAAGUCUAUAUAAAAUGGGACAAAAUACAUGGGACAAAAUCCUAACUUAGUGUGUAUCAUGAAUUGAUGGUUUGGGGUUCUUGGGAUUUGGGAUUUUGAUGAAUGGUUCUAUGAAAAUGUGGAGUUAACAUAUGAAUUCCUUAGAAGAAAAAAAAAAAAAAAAGAAUAUUAGGGAUUCUGAAGAAAGCAGUAGAAAACAAGGAGACAACUAUCAUCAUUUUGUCACCACUUAAUGGUGAUGAAUCUCUGAGGCACGUAUGCCUUGACCAUCCAGUGCAUUUAUGAUCACUUCACCUCA